AGAAAUUAGAAGUGUUGGUGUACAGAUUGAAAUGGUUUAUGUUGGCAGUAGGCAUCUGAGUGAACGUGUGAGACACAUUUUAGCUACAAUCAAUGAAGAAAUGCACAGUAGUUUGUUCUCUUUCACAAAAUGCAUUUCUCUUGGCUUCGGUAGGAGAGUAUGAGAAGAUCAAUAUUUCGGCCACAACAAUCAAUCAGCUCAGAUCAUAUUCAGGAAGCAGUGUCUGCUCUGCUAGACAGUACUGAUGAGGGAUGGGCAGUAAUAGGGAGAGGAAAUACAACAGAUAUUGUAAAGCUUCAUGGAACAAAGACAAUGGAAUGCUUGAAUAAGUUUUCAGGAUGGGAAGAAAAUGUCAUAAAGUUAGGAUUUUUGGGUGCUCUCAGAAGUGCCCUUGAAGAAGCAGCUCCUCUCCCAGGGCCUUGCAACAAUUCUAAUAUUGUUCCUUAUAAUUAUCAGUUGAAGAAAUUGAAGUGUGCAGCAAGGGUAAGCGUCCAAUGGAGAAGUAUGUUGUAUAUGAAUGAAAUGAG
rnacentral:misc_RNA from 1 species